UAUGAAAUCAUCCAUUCCGGAACAUUGGUGAAAUCGUUAAGGUUAAAUAUUUUUUAAUAUUGUGAAAUACCUGUUAUUUAAAAACGCAGUUAUAACAUAUACACUUUAAACGUUGCCAGUUCAUUAUAAAUCAACAGAAUAAAUAAAAUGGAAAAACUGUGUCCAGCAAUACUUGGAAUAAUUACAUUAGUUUUAUUGUGUGCUGGAGCUUUCUCUCCCGGAUGGAUUGCUGUAGGUGACACUUCUAGCAUAAGUGGAGUUGAGGGCCAUGAUACUUCAGGCGGUGUUGACGUACAUAUGGGAUUAUUUUAUCUAGUUGUUGUUGGGAAAGAUUUUACAACAGUAGUGGGAUAUGGUGAAGUUAGAGGGCUUAGCGUUUUAAGUUUGGGAUUUCUUGAAUACCAGAUAGAAACUAUCCUGGGAAUAGUCUUAUGUUUUAUAUCAGUUAUACUGACUUUUAUAUACAAGAAAGAAGGGACGAAUGGAUUUUUGGUUGCUAUUAUCAUAAUGUACAUUAUAGCAGGUCAGUAGUAAAGGGCUUUAUCACAAAAAUGGGUUUGAAGCAUCUAAAAAUAGACAGCAACAUCGGGAUGCUUUCGGAAAAUAAAAUUCAACACUUCCAGAAUCUAGCGGUCGUCUUUUCUUAUCAAUAUUUACAAUAUUGUACCACGGGACUUAUUUUCACAUCCUGUAUUACUGUAUUGGAUCAAGUCAUUUCUGUAACUUCAAUGGAUUUGUUUAUGUUCCCAUCAUUGCCUCAUAUUUAACAACGACUUUGAUUUUCCCGUCAAAUUGGCUGACCAAAAGAUACAAAGAGGUACAUGUAGGGGCAAUUUCACCUGCAUGUAUUUCAGGCAAUGACAAUUUUUAAAAAGUCUUUCAAGAUUUGCUUAAAUUUAUAGUAUCACAUCCCAAUAUGCGCACUUUAAGGUCCUAAUAAUAUCAUGGCUUAUGGUAUAACUUUAAGGUCCUAAUAAUAUCAUGGCUUAUGGUAUAACUGUAAGGUCCUAAUAAUAUCAUGGCUUAUGGUAUAACUUUAAGGUCCUAAUGAUAUCAUGGCUUAUGGUAUAACUUUAAGGUCCUAAUGAUAUCAUGGCUUAUGGUAUAACUUUAAGGUCCUAAUGAUAUCAUGGCUUAUGGUAUAACUUUAAGGUCCUAACGAUAUCAUGGCUUAUGGUAUAACUUUAAGGUCCUAACGAUAUCAUGGCUUAUGGUAUAACUUUAAGGUCCUAAUGAUAUCAUGGCUUAUGGUAUAACUUUAAGGUCCUAACGAUAUCAUGGCUUAUGGUAUAACUUUAAGGUCCUAACGAUAUCAUGGCUUAUGGUAUAACUUUAAGGUCCUAACGAUAUCAUGGCUUAUGGUAUAACUUUAAGGUCCUAACAAUAUCAUGGCUUAUGGUAUAACUUUAAGGUCCUAACAAUAUCAUGGCUUAUGGUAUAACUUUAAGGUCCUAACAAUAUCAUGGCUUAUGGUAUAACUUUAAGGUCCUAACAAUACCAUGGCUUAUGGUAUAACUUUAAGAUCCUAACAAUAUCAUGGCUUAUGGUAUAACUUUAAGGUCCUAACAAUAUCAUGGCUUAUGGUAUAAAUUUAAGGUCGUAAUAAUAUCAUGGCUUAUGGUAUAACUUUAAGGUCCUAACAAUAUCAUGGCUUAUGGUAUAACAGAUCGUCAAAUUUUAAACGCCCGAACAUAGCCCAAAACAAUAUUUUGAUAGAGUUCAGGCACAUUUUUAGUAUUUAUUGAAAAAAAAUGUAUAAGGACAUUAUUAACCAAAACCAAAAUUCUGCUGGAAGAUAAAACUAUGUAUUGUCUGUCGGAUACAAAUCAAUUCAUUUGGUUAACGACGCCCUACUAUGGAAAAUUUGACAAAACACAUGUAAAAGUACCAAUCUGUAUCAAAUUUAUUUUUCAUUAGCAACAUGUAGUACUGAAUAUCAUGUAGUACUUAUGAAGGGAAUGUUUUUUUUUUUUAGGUAAUACGGAUUUUUCUUUAAAAUAGUUAGUGGGAAGUGCUACCUAUGAAAGAGGACAAAUUCACAAUCAGCACCUGUUUAAAACACCAUUUAUUUAUCUGUUUAUCCUCUUUACAUUUAUUAAAUGUAUUUAAAGUGGACAAUACUGUCUUGUAAUCCUUGAUCUUUUCACAUGUUUUUUUGUCACUACUUCCUCAUUUGCGCAAUUUUCCAGAUCGAUCCCUUUGACGGUUUUUCCGGUGUUUUCAUUAGAAAUAAUAAUAGAGCAUACGAUCUAUGUUUAUGUAUCUGAUUAUUAAAAUGCCUGAUGCCAUUAAAAAUAAUACCAUUUCUGGUAAAUCUAAGUUAAUAUGAAAAAUAACUCUGUUUUCUUUUAGUAUCUCGGAAUGUGCACAUUUUGAACCUGCGGUAUUUGCAGUUUUUUGGGGUUUGCGUGAACUUUGAUUUUGACAUUUAUAAUAUAUUUUUACUUAUUAAAAAUAAUUUUUAACGCCUAUUUAUCACACGAUUUUAUAAAGUGGAAACGAAAUCAGUUUUAUGGGGGAGGAGGGUGAUCAUGUGAAAACAAUGCCGCAGUGAGUACAAUGCAAUCGACGUGUCUAGCUCUGUCAAGAUUUAGAUCAAGGCACACUUUGAUAUCAACUUCGGGAAGUCCUUUUUCUUGUCUUAGAUAAAGCCUAUAUAUCCAAUAUAUUUUAUUUGACUCGAGCAGUUGAUACCCUGAUGCAAAUGGGCAUACAUGGCUCGAGCUUCUUGCUGUGAUGUUCAAUGUUGGCAAAUCGUCUUAAGCGAUCUGUUAGCAUUCCCUAUAUGUCAAAGAUAACGCUUAGGACAAGCAUGUGUGUACCUACCCGAAUUUUAGUAUGAAUGCGAUAUACAUCCCCAACCAGAUAUAGUUAAUAACAGAUAAUCCCUUGGCAGCAUAACUCUGAAGGAUGUACAUAGGUAAGGUUUAGGAAUUUUUAUCAGAUGUUCGGACUGCUUGGUUUUUUUCCUACGAUACAGGGUAAAAUAUUUUGCCUCAUAACACCCAUUUUUCUUUUCAUAUAAGACUUCAAUAGCUCAUAAAAGGUCAUUUAUUAAAAUUCAAGCAGAUUCUAGAUUUCUGUUCUUUCGAUUUGAGACCCAAAUAAUACCAAUGCAAAUAUAAGGUAAAAGUCCGAGUCAGCCUUUCCCCGCCAUUUAAAAAAAAUAAAUAUCUCGAAAAGGAGCUCCAUAACCUAUCAAUAUUUUUAGCUUAUUUUGUUCUUUAACUAAUGCUUUUUUGACUUAUAGUAUCAUUCUAAAUUCUAGAUUUUUUAAGUUUCACCAAAGUACAUCCUUAAAUGGUAAAUCUCCAAUGUCAAAAUCGAACCCGACUUGUAUAUUUCAUGGUUCAUGACAUUAUGUUUAAAUUCAGAACAGUUCUCUCAAGUGGACCUUUUACUAUCAUCCAGAAACAAAAACAAAAUUUUCAGAAAUUUAGGGGCACAACUCUUUUAAUGUAAAUGCAAAAACCGUCAAAACCGAACUCUCUUUUUUCAAGUGUAUGACAUACAUUUUCUGGUGACCGUGUCGAAAUUAUCAUUCAAAAGUAUAAUUGUGGUAAAUAAUUGUUAACAGUGCAUAUUAAAAUUCUCAUUUUUUUUCAGGAAUAUCUACAGUUGUAGCAGUCGGACGUUGGCUUAGCAGUGUGAUAUUAAUUUCAACUUACACAAACAUAACAAUGAUCGUUCCAUAUUCUUUAAUUUUAAGUGGUCUUGGUGCCAUUCUUUGUGGGAUCAUAAUGAUAUGUACAAGUUGCAUGUACUGCCAGCACAACGCUGCUAGACCAGCCCAAGGGGGUCAGGUGUUUUCAGAUGUUGCAAUGACCGGUUAUCCACAAACACAGCCGUAUACGCAAGGACCGACGUCAUAUGGACAACCACAGGAUAACAAAGGCUACGGAUACAACUACGGCAAUGGCAGUGGCAUACCUUAUAAAGCUUAGCAAUGUAAAUCCAAUCAUAGAAAAAUGUGUAUAUUAAAAUGUAAAAUAAUGAAUAUUAAGUUUACAAUUAUAGCAAAAACUGUAACAUUGUUAUCAUAAAAGUUAAUGUACAUUUUACAUCACAGAUAUUAUAUUCAAAAUCAUAUAUUCCAUCAUUUUGUAAACUUAAAAGAAUAAAAUUGGUAUGGAAAAAACACGUUCGUUGAUUUGCCUCUGUAUUUGAUUUAAUACCAUUCACAUUGGAGCAAGGCAUAUUUGGUUUCAGUGUGUAGGUGUGUAGUUGUAAAUAUCUUCGUCAUGCAGUGAUCGCUAUUCUUUAAAAGCUAUACCAAUAAUGUACGGUUGAGAUUACCAUUAACAAUUUGUUCAAUGACUGAUUAAUUGAUUGCUGCUUGUGUAAAGUCCAGUAGCAAUUAUUUCAUACAUAUUAAGGUCGAGAACAAUUUAACAUUGAAUUCAAUAAAUAUGUAGGUUCUGCAAGACAGACGACACGUACAAAGAGCGGGAAAUUUGGACUGCCACUGGAAAAUAAAGAUAUGUUGGAAAAGGAAAGACAUUUUGCUUUGCAAAAAGUAAAAUCACAAAAAUACUGAACUCCGAAGAAAAUUCAAAAAGGAAAGUCCCUAAUCAAAUGGCAAAAUCAAAAGCUCAAACACAUCAAACGAAUGGAUAACAACUGUCAUACUCCUGACUUGGUACAGGCAUUUUCUUAUGUAGAAAAUGGUGGAUUGAACCUGGUUUUAUAGCUAGCUAAACCUCUCACUUGUAUGACAGUCGCAUCAAAUUCCAUUAUAUUGACAACGAUGCGUGAACAAAACAAACAGACACAAUAGGUAAAAAUGUCAAAAAUAGGGGUACAGCAGUCAACAUUGUGUUAUCAUCUUAAUCACUAUAAAAACAAAAAAAUGUAACGAAGAAGCACACAAAGGCAUACAUCAAAUUCAACAUCCUCCUUUUGCUUUUUUAUUAUACGAUUUUAUUUAUCUAUGUGAAAUCAACCCAUAAAGGAUGGAAGGUUUUAAGUACUGGCGUAAAAUCGCGCGUUUGAAAUUCGCACAGGUAGACAUAAAAUAAUUUUGUAACAGAUCUUCUACCGACUCCUCAGAGAGUUGUUGCAAUGAAACGUGCAGAGACCAUGUUAAUAACCCUACAUGAGGCAUCGAUUUAAACAUCAACAUUCCGACAUGAUAUGACGUGGCCGCGAAAUUACGGAAUGCAAAGAUACAUCAAUGAUGUGGAUGAAAUACGCCAAUGAGACAGCAAUACGAAUUCUCCAUAUAUCAAAAACAUUAAGAUAUCGCAAUUGAAGUAAGACACCACAGACAUACGUACAUAUAACCAAACCGAUGUUUAUUUACAACAGAUACAUAUAUAUAUUGACACAGAUGGACGACUUCACACGAAAAUCUAUGAUAAACGGGACGAUUUCAACUUCCCAAUUAUCAAUUUCCCAUUUCUCAGCAGUAACAUACCCUCUGCCCCUUCGUAUGGUGUUUACAUAUCUCAGUUGAUACGUUAUGCUCGUGCAUGUUCACACUAUACGGACUUCAUAUACAGGAGUGUGCUCCUAACGCAGAAACUGCUCCAACAAAGUUAUGAGGAGGACAGAUUAAAAAUGACACUCCGUAAAUUUUACGGACACCAUCACGAAUUGCUCGAUCCAUACGAUGUGUCUUUGUCCAAAAUAACUAAGGACAUUUUUACCACGUGUUAGAUUGUGGUUUGACAUUACGUCGUCUGAUCUUUUAAUUACCGAACGUGACUUAUUUCCGAUUGUGACUGUUUUGCUGAGUGUGAAUUCGCAUUGCUAUAAGACGUGUCACGGUACUAUUCUAUCCAAAUUCAUGUAUUUAGUUUUGAUGUUAUAUUUGUUAUUCUCAUCGGAUUUUGUCAAAUGUCUUAUCGUUUGUAGUUGUAAAUCUUAUUUUUUUCUGUUGUAUUCGUGUGUUAUGGUUAAGAUAAUUAAUCACCCAGUUCAUUAAUUAGAUUUUAGUUUGGGUCACCUAAAUUAAUACGAUACAUUUGGAUUACAGUUUGAUUUAGAUGAAACACCGAAAUAGCUAGAUAAUACUAUUUAUUAUCUAAUUACUACCACAUUUUAUAUUAAUUAGUAUUGUAAUUUUCUUUGUUAUUAAUAAAUGUUAUAUGAGUAUUAUAAACCAAAUCUUGAAUUCUA